UAGCCUUGACAUAUUUUAGAAUCUUUCAGAGAUGAGAGAGUGCCUUCGGGAGCUAAUUUACAGGUGCUGCACGGCUGUCGUCAGCUCGUGUCGUGAGAUGUUGGGUUAAGUCCCGCAACGAGCGCAACCCUCGUCACUAGUUACUAACGGUUCGGCCGAGGACUCUAGUGAGACUGCCUUCGUAAGGAGGAGGAAGGUGAGGACGACGUCAAGUCAUCAUGGCCCUUACGGCUAGGGCAACACACGUGCUACAAUGGCCAGGACAGUGAGACGCGAUACCGUGAGGUGGAGCAAAUCUAUAAACCUGGUCUCAGUUCGGAUUGUAGUCUGCAACUCGACUACAUGAAGCUGGAAUCACUAGUAAUCGUAGAUCAGCUAUGCUACGGUGAAUACGUUCCCGGGUCU
rnacentral:rRNA from 1 species